rnacentral:lncRNA from 1 species
CUGAGAUCAGCCUUGGAGGAUGUUUACUGGCUUAAGAAAGGUGUGUGUUCCAGUCUCUAAAUAACUGAGUGCAGACUAGGAGAAAAAUAUUGUUCUUAUGCAAGGAACUGGCAAAAGCCAUCUAGAUAGACGGUGUGAGUAGUAGCAUGAAAUGUAGUGUGGACAGGUAAGCUAAGGCCAGACCAAAGAAAGAUUCCAGUGCUGCUGAGAAGAGUUUGAGUGAGGUAUGAAAUGGCAAAAGGAUUCAUUUAUUUAAGAUACUUACUGAGCACUUAGAAUAUGCCGGGUGUUGCGAUAGGCUGGAGAUUCAGUGGUGAAGGUAAACACAGCCUCCCCCCUCAUGGAUUUUAGAGUAUGUAACAAUACAAACUGCAGUUGUGUCCAAGAGAUCAUGUAGAGUUUGACCUGGUCUGGGGGUCAGGAAAGGCUUUCCCAAGCAAGGAAUUAACUAGGCAAGGAAGUGGACACAGUUUAAAAGCAGAGAGCAUAUGUAGGUUCCCUGUGGUGGGAGGAAAUAAGGUGCCAUCAAGGAACUAAAGGGCCUGGAGUGUAGGGGAGGAUAAGAUGAACAGAAGCCAGAUUGUGCAGUAUCUUACAGGCUGUGUUUAAGUCUUUGGACUUUGGUUCUUAGAGUAAUGGAAAACUCAUUGGAGGGUUUUAAGCAAG